GAACCACAGUGACGAUCAAAGCUCAUGAUGUAAUGUGGCUCUAAUCAGCUUAAAAACAGUGACAAGCCACUACGAAAAAAAAUUUACUCCAUUCGAUUAUUUAAAAAAAACGUCAUAGAAUGCUUCCCAAACACAAUACGAUGAUGAAUUCUUUUCCUUUUUAUUUUUGCAUCAGUUGAUAAGAAGGGACCAAAAACGAAACGAUCGAAAAUAACAUUCCGCUCUACAAUCGGUUAUUGAGUUUCUCAUCUUCACACCAACUAAUACUCAUACAGCUGAGCUCAGUGUUUUAAAGAAGUCUAAAUCAUGACGAGGAAUGAUGAAGCGGAAUGUUUGUUUACUUAUUGACGAAAACCAAAGCAGAAUGGUAUGUUCUUAGAUUUCUACCUCGACUGGCGUAUAUCAAAAGUACAUAACUUCUUCCUCUUUGGCUUUGUUGUUGCUGUCACUUUUACUUGUCGUAGUGUCGGAUGAUUUAGGAGGAGAUUGCAGGCUAGGAUGACGGGAGGAUAUUGGCGAGGAAGUACGCUGUCCGGUUGAUUCGUGGUGAGCCGUGUUUCUAGCAGGAACGAGUGGCGGAGGAGUCGAAGACAUUGCUCCCAUAGAGUGUGUCGACGGCGAAUACUGAUACGUUUGAGGAACAGGCGAAUUGGCCGUGGUGCCAGAUGAAAGAGGAUAGUUGUCCGAACUUCUUAGGCGAAAGCGUUCAGGUAUUUUUGGAUAGGUAUUGGUUCUGCACAUUACAUUAAUAACAUUAGCACAAAAGAACGUAAAAUUAGGUACCAAAUUAUAGAAGACAUACCUAGUAGCAGGAUUGCCCGAUUGUACUUGAAUUUGCUGCUGUAUCACGGCAGGACUGCUGCCGGUCCGUGAAUGAUUCGGAGUACCAGUGGAAGAAAUCUUAACAAUAAAUGCACCAUUAAUACAAUGUA